rnacentral:rRNA from 1 species
AUUGAACGCUGGCGGCAUGGCUAAAACAUGCAAGUCGAACGUCAAAGUCGUAGCAAUACGGCAAGUAAGUGGCGAAAGGGCGAGUAAUGCGUUUCUAACGUACCCUGGACUCACGGAUAGCUCACCGAAAGGUGAAUUAAUACGUGAUGACCCCGCGAGGCCGCAUGGCGUUUGUCGGGCGAAAGGACGUUGUCUGGUCCGACGGAGGCGGGGAACGGUACCUACUCAGGUAGGUUGGUGAGGUAACGGCUCACCAAGCCUACUGACGGGUAGGCGGGUGGUGAGAGCACGGCCCGG